rnacentral:rRNA from 1 species
UGUUACCAUACCAUUCUGAGGGCACCAGAACUCUUCUGGUCUCAGAAGCUAAACAGAGUUGGGCCUGGUUAGUACUUGUACGGGAGAAAACUGGAUUAUAC